rnacentral:rRNA from 1 species
UACGUAGGGCGCGAGCGUUGUCCGGAUUUAUUGGGCGUAAAGAGCUCGUAGGCGGCUUGUCGCGUCGACUGUGAAAACCCGCGGCUCAACUGUGGGCUUGCAGUCGAUACGGGCAGGCUGGAGUUCGGUAGGGGAGACUGGAAUUCCUGGUGUAGCGGUGAAAUGCGUAGAUAUCUGGAGGAACACCGGUGGCGAAGGCGGCAUCCUGGACCGGCAUUGACGCUGAGGCGCGAAAGCUAGGGGAGCAAACGGG